AGCAAGCAGCCGAAUCCAUCCUUAAAAAGUUGCUGUCAGGGUGUGUGGAUACCUCUGGUGAGCUUAAAGAAAUGAGCAGUACAAGUCUGUCUGAGCUGUACAAAUAUGGUCCGCAGAUAUGCCACUCCUGUGUAGAGAGGGAAUGGAAAGUCCGCAAAAUACCAAACGCUGUGUCUCAGUGAGAAGUGCAGGUGAAAGAGAGCGGAGCAGUGCGGGGACAGGAGGAGGAGGAGGAGGAGGAGGAGGAGCUCUUCCGGGCUUUUUGCUUGUAGCCUAUGUCGCUUUGAGCUGCUAUUGGAAAUAUGGACACUCCCAGAUGCAAGUGAAGAACCACACUCACACCUUGUAUAUGCUUUGUAGAUAAACAGUCCAAACUGUAGACCCGGACUCUGCAUCCUUUCUUUAUUAACCCUCACCUGAGCACAAAAUAGUGUCCUGAUCCGACACCCUGAAGCGGUUGCUGCCACGCCUAUUGAUCCACCCCAUACACAUUCUCUCACACAAUUUUGGUCCUUCGAGCCAGAUCUUAGUCACUGCUCCAGCCCAUGAUGUUCAGGCCAGAUGAGAGAGACCCAGAACGGGAUGUUGACCGCCCACACCGACACAGCCAGCUGCCAUCAUGUCUUCAAGAUUAUGAGGUCACUCAUCCUUUCAGGUGCCAGAUGAGCUGAUGGCAGCAUCAUUCCAGAUGUGAAGCACUAGAGUCCAGCUCUACAGAAGUCCCAGCUUCCAGUGUGGCCCUGCCAGAUCCUGCAGCUCACUGCUUUGCUCAGCCUUGUUUUUACUUUUACUCCACAACACCUGAACUCUACUGAUUUCAAAUUAUGACAGUGGGUUCCAAUACAUAGGUUCUCUUAUUAUAUUUACUGUUGCAACAUAUUACUUCAGGUCAUACAAAACAACUUUUAAAUUUGUAACUUUUAAUAUUGA